GGUCGAUCAAAUCCCUGUUGUAUAAGCUUGAAGUUUACAAGAGGUUUCUAAUCGAGUUAUGAUUUAGGAGAUAAGGGUUACUUAUGUUUUGGAGUUAUUUAGACAUAAUGUUAUUCCUAUUAGGAAUUGGUUUUGGUGUUUUAUAUAAAAGAAGUGCUAAGGUCUGCAGAAGUUGUAAGGAGUUUUAGAGAGAGAUUAAGAUUGAGAGAUUGUGUGAGAAGUUUUGAGUUAUCUUCUCUGAGCUAAUAAGAGAGUUAUUCUUUAAAUAUUUUUGUGUUCUUAAUUUUUCUUGCUAAAACUAGAACCCCAACUCUAAAAGAUGGCUAACAUCCAGACGAAAUCGAUGUGUUUGGACGAUCUUAAUGAUCGCGAAAUACUUGAGUAUAGAUUGGAGUGGGAAGAUUUCACCGAAAUAAAGAUGAAAAGUGAUGGAAAUUGAAACUUUUCCUAACUUUGAUUUGCAGAUUGUCUUUUUUUUCUUUUUUUUCUUUUUUUUCUUUUUUAUACGAUGAUGAUGAUGAUGAUGAUUGAUUGAUUGAUUGAUUGAUUGAUUGAUGACGCUGUUUAAUUUCCUCAUCAGCUUAAAUCUCAUGCAAAGAUGUACAAAGAAUUUGUUAAUAACAUGAACUUCUCCGACUAUGUCAAGAACAUGUCCAAGAACUCCGAAUGGGGAGAUGAAGUCACAUUAAAAGCCGCUGCUGAUGUGUAUGUGUUCAAAAUAGUACUCAUUACAUCAAUCAAACAGACUCCAUUCAUUGAGGUUUUGCCCAAGUCUCAAAAAAAACCCGACAGAGUCAUUCAUUUAAGCUAUCUCUCAGGGAUCCAUUUCAACUCCAUCCACAAAAAAAAAGAUUCAGGUUUAGGUUCUGCCUCGAUGAAGAAGCUACAGAAGAAGAAGGAGAGGGAGCAGAAGAAAAAUGAGGAGGAGCAGAAGAAAAAAGA